GAGUACAGCCAUGCUACCCUGAACAAGCCAGAUCCUGUCUGAUCUCGGAAGCUAAGCAGGGUCGGGCCUGGUUAGUAUAUUUGGAUGGGAGACCACCUAGGAAGACCAGGUGCUGUAGGCU
rnacentral:rRNA from 1 species